AAAACGUAACAAGGUCUCCGUUGGUGAACCAGCGGAGGGAUCAUUACCGAGUUUACAACUCCCAAACCCCUGUGAACAUACCUUAAUGUUGCCUCGGCGGAUCAGCCCGCGCCCCGUAAAACGGGACGGCCCGCCAGAGGACCCAAACUCUAAUGUUUCUUAUUGUAACUUCUGAGUAAAACAAACAAAUAAAUCAAAACUUUCAACAACGGAUCUCUUGGUUCUGGCAUCGAUGAAGAACGCAGCAAAAUGCGAUAAGUAAUGUGAAUUGCAGAAUUCAGUGAAUCAUCGAAUCUUUGAACGCACAUUGCGCCCGCUGGUAUUCCGGCGGGCAUGCCUGUUCGAGCGUCAUUUCAACCCUCAAGCCCCCGGGUUUGGUGUUGGGGAUCGGCUCUGCCCUUCUGGGCGGUGCCGCCCCCGAAAUACAUUGGCGGUCUCGCUGCAGCCUCCAUUGCGUAGUAGCUAACACCUCGCAACUGGAACGCGGCGCGGCCAUGCCGUAAAACCCCAACUUCUGAAUGUUGACCUCGGAUCAGGUAGGAAUACCCGCUGAACUUAAGCAUAUCAAUAAGCGGAGGAAAAGAAACCAACAGGGAUUGCCCUAGUAACGGCGAGUGAAGCGGCAACAGCUCAAAUUUGAAAUCUGGCUUUCGGGCCCGAGUUGUAAUUUGUAGAGGAUACUUUUGAUGCGGUGCCUUCCGAGUUCCCUGGAACGGGACGCCAUAGAGGGUGAGAGCCCCGUCUGGUUGGAUGCCAAAUCUCUGUAAAGUUCCUUCGACGAGUCGAGUAGUUUGGGAAUGCUGCUCUAAAUGGGAGGUAUAUGUCUUCUAAAGCUAAAUAUUGGCCAGAGACCGAUAGCGCACAAGUAGAGUGAUCGAAAGAUGAAAAGCACUUUGAAAAGAGAGUUAAAAAGUACGUGAAAUUGUUGAAAGGGAAGCGUUUAUGACCAGACUUGGACUUGGUUAAUCAUCUGGGGUUCUCCCCAGUGCACUUUUCCAGUUCAGGCCAGCAUCAGUUUUCGCCGGGGGAUAAAGGCUUCGGGAAUGUAGCUCUCUUCGGGGAGUGUUAUAGCCCGUUGUGUAAUACCCUGGCGGAGACUGAGGUUCGCGCUUCUGCAAGGAUGCUGGCGUAAUGGUCAUCAACGACCCGUCUUGAAACACGGACCAAGGAGUCGUCUUCGUAUGCGAGUGUUCGGGUGUCAAACCCCUACGCGUAAUGAAAGUGAACGCAGGUGAGAGCUUCGGCGCAUCAUCGACCGAUCCUGAUGUUCUCGGAUGGAUUUGAGUAAGAGCAUACGGGGCCGGACCCGAAAGAAGGUGAACUAUGCCUGUAUAGGGUGAAGCCAGAGGAAACUCUGGUGGAGGCUCGCAGCGGUUCUGACGUGCAAAUCGAUCGUCAAAUAUGGGCAUGGGGGCGAAAGACUAAUCGA
rnacentral:sRNA from 1 species